rnacentral:rRNA from 1 species
UGGUGGGUAGUUUGACUGGGGCGGUCUCCUCCUAAAGAGUAACGGAGGAGCACGAAGGUUGGCUAAUCCUGGUCGGACAUCAGGAGGUUAGUGCAAUGGCAUAAGCCAGCUUGACUGCGAGCGUGACGGCGCGAGCAGGUGCGAAAGCAGGUCAUAGUGAUCCGGUGGUUCUGAAUGGAAGGGCCAUCGCUCAACGGAUAAAAGGUACUCCGGGGAUAACAGGCUGAUACCGCCCAAGAGUUCAUAUCGACGGCGGUGUUUGGCACCUCGAUGUCGGCUCAUCACAUCCUGGGGCUGAAGUAGGUCCCAAGGGUAUGGCUGUUCGCCAUUUAAAGUGGUACGCGAGCUGGGUUUAGAACGUCGUGAGACAGUUCGGUCCCUAUCUGCCGUGGGCGCUGGAGAACUGAGGGGGGCUGCUCCUAGUACGAGAGGACCGGAGUAGACGCAUCACUGGUGUUCGGGUUGUCAUGCCAAUGGCACUGCCCGGUAGCUAAAUGCGGAAGAGAUAAGUGCUGAAAGCAUCUAAGCACGAAACUUGCCCCGAGAUGAGUUCUCCCUGACUCCUUGAGAGUCCUGAAGGAACGUUGAAGACGACGACGUUGAUAGGCCGGGUGUGUAAGCGCAGCGAUGCGUUGAGCUAACCGGUACUAAUGAACCGUGAGGCUUAACCUU